GACGAACGCUGGCGGCGUGCUUAACACAUGCAAGUCGAACGGAAAGGCCCUGCUUUUGUGGGGUGCUCGAGUGGCGAACGGGUGAGUAACACGUGAGUAACCUGCCCUUGACUUUGGGAUAACUUCAGGAAACUGGGGCUAAUACCGGAUAGGAGCUCCUGCUGCAUGGUGGGGGUUGGAAAGUUUCGGCGGUUGGGGAUGGACUCGCGGCUUAUCAGCUUGUUGGUGGGGUAGUGGCUUACCAAGGCUUUGACGGGUAGCCGGCCUGAGAGGGUGACCGGCCACAUUGGGACUGAGAUACGGCCCAGACUCCUACGGGAGGCAGGAGUGGGGAAUAUUGCACAAUGGGCGGAAGCCUGAUGCAGCAACGCCGCGUGCGGGAUGACGGCCUUCGGGUUGUAAACCGCUUUCGCCUGUGACGAAGCGUGAGUGACGGUAAUGGGUAAAGAAGCACCGGCUAACUACG
rnacentral:rRNA from 1 species